rnacentral:rRNA from 1 species
AGGAUAAACGCUGGCGGCGUGCCUAACACAUGCAAGUCGAACGCCCUACGCAAGUAGGGAGUGGCGGACGGGUGAGGAACACGUGGGUAAUCUGCCCUUCGGUGAGGAAUACCGGCGAGAAAUCGCCGACAAUACCGCAUACGUUUCACGGAAGUGAAAGAAAGUCGUAAGACGCCGAGGGAUGAGCCUGCGCCCGAUUAGUUUGUUGGUGGGGUAAAAGCCUACCAAGACUACAAUCGGUAGCUGGUCUGAGAGGACGAUCAGCCACACUGGGAUUGAGAACGGCCCAGACUCCUACGGGGGGCAGCAGUGAGGAAUUUUCGUCAAUGGGGGCAACCCUGAACGAGCAACGCCGCGUGCAGGAGAAGGUUUUCGGAUCGUAAACUGCUUUUCUCGGGGACGAGCAAGGACGGUACCCGAGGAAGAAGCCCCGGCUAACUACGUGCCAGCAGCCGC